rfam:Triticum aestivum genome assembly, contig: Triticum_aestivum_CS42_TGACv1_scaffold_129593_2BL
UAUAUACACCCUCCGUCCCAUAAUUCUUGUCUUAGAUUUGUCUAGAUACGGAUGUAUCUAAUACUAAAACGUGACUUGAUACAUCCGUAUUUAGACAAAUCUAAGAUAAGAAUUUUUGGGACGGAGGGAGUAUAUC